GUGCUAGGAGGGCUUCCUGGAGAAUCAUCUCAUCCAUUGAGCAGAAGGAAGAAAGCCGUGGGAAUGAGGAUCAUGUCAAGGUUAUUAAGGAAUACAGGGCGAAGAUUGAGGCUGAACUCAGCAAGAUCAGUAAUGGGAUUUUGAGCCUCCUAGAUUCCCAUCUCAUUCCCUCAGCCUCCUCAGCAGAGUCCAAGGUGUUUUAUUUGAAGAUGAAGGGUGAUUACCAUAGGUACAUGGCUGAGUUUAAGACUGGAGCUGAGAGGACGGAAGCUGCCGAGAGUACUUUGUCAGCUUAUAAGUC
rnacentral:lncRNA from 1 species